rnacentral:lncRNA from 1 species
CCCCAAAGAAGAACACUCAAAGAAUAUAUAAACCUAUCUCUCAAAACUCAUUGUUUCGAAAACCAAGCAACAUUCAAUGGCAACUCACUACUUGUUCCAAAAGGCUAUUGUUCAUCAUUAUCACGACUCUUUAGGAACACAAUCCUUAGAGUGCAUUUAUGGUAGAAUCUUAAAAGUAUUAUUACAAUGUUUCACUAUUAAGUAAGACCACUAUUCAGAACAAGUUGUUAAAGAAAGGACCAGGAGGACAAGAUGUCUCGAAGAAAGCCACUUUGUAACUCCCCUCUCAACUUGAAUUGGGGGAACAUUGUUAUACCACCAUCUGUGUAAGGACACAUGGAAAGCCAAAAGGACACCUAAAUAGUAAGCCAGUUGAUAGAAAAUCGAGAAGUCGCCCACAAGUCCUCCGUUCUAGAGAGACCAUCCAAAAAAAUGUAAGCUAUCUAAUACCCGAGUCUUCAGGCUUUCGUAGGGAACAGGGAGUCAUUGGUUACCAAACACCACAUGGGCUCAACUACUUUAUACCAUCAAGUCAAAUUGAAUGACAGGAUCUAUCCCAUCACAGACAUGCUCGUCCCAUCGAAGACAUCCGCCGCACGUGUUUCGUAAUGAUAGCUAAAUGGCAAGUCCAACAUGUUAACAUCAUCUUACAUGGAACCCUUGCCUAUAAAUAACUUCAGGAACAAUGAAGAAAGAAUCGACUCUCUAGAUAUACCAAGCCAAUUGUCAUCCCACUUCCAGAUCACAGCUUUGGCAGUUUCCUCACCAUCACUCUUUACUACCUCCGACUCUCC